rnacentral:rRNA from 1 species
GACGGAGGAUGCAAGUGUUAUCCGGAAUCACUGGGCGUAAAGCGUCUGUAGGUGGUUCAAUAAGUCAACUGUUAAAUCUUGAGGCUCAACUUCAAAAUCGCAGUCGAAACUAUUGGACUCGAGUAUAGUAGGGGUAAAGGGAAUUUCCAGUGGAGCGGUGAAAUGCGUAGAGAUUGGAAAGAACACCAAUGGCGAAAGCACUUUACUGGGCCAUUACUGACACUGAGAGACGAAAGCUAGGGUAGCAAAUGGG